AGCCUCGUCGUCCAACUGGACAGGACACCUCUUUGCGAAGGAGGAGAUUGCGCGUUCAAGUCGCGCCGAGGCUA
rnacentral:tRNA from 2 species